rnacentral:rRNA from 1 species
GGGAUACGAGACGGAGAGGCAUCUCUACCGUCUGGAAAGUUUUUCGGUCUGGGAUGGACUCGCGGCCUAUCAGCUUGUUGGUGAGGUAAUGGCUCACCAAGGCGACGACGGGUAGCCGGCCUGAGAGGGCGACCGGCCACACUGGGACUGAGACACGGCCCAGACUCCUACGGGAGGCAGCAGUGGGGAAUAUUGCACAAUGGGCGAAAGCCUGAUGCAGCAACGCCGCGUGAGGGAUGACGGCCUUCGGGUUGUAAACCUCUUUCAGUAGGGAAGAAGCGAAAGUGACGGUACCUACAGAAGAAGCACCGGCUAACUACGUGCCAGCAGCCGCGGUAAUACGUAGGGUGCGAGCGUUGUCCGGAAUUAUUGGGCGUAAAGAGCUUGUAAGCGGUUUGUCGCGUCUGCCGUGAAAAUCCGAGGCUCAACCUCGGACUUGCGGUGGGUACGGGCAGACUAGAGUGUGGUAGGGGAGACUGGAAUUCCUG